UCUGGUCAGGAUGAACGCUAGCGACAGGCUUAACACAUGCAAGUCGAGGGGCAGCACGGGAGUAGCAAUACAACUGGUGGCGACCGGCGCACGGGUGAGUAACGCGUAUGCAACCUACCUAUCAGAGGGGAAUAACCCGGCGAAAGUCGGACUAAUACCGCAUAAAACAGGGGCACCGCAUGGUGAUAUUUGUUAAAGAGAUUCGCUGAUAGAUGGGCAUGCGUUCCAUUAGGUAGUUGGUGAGGUAACGGCUCACCAAGCCGACGAUGGAUAGGGAACUGAGAGGUUGGUCCCCCACACUGGUACUGAGACACGGACCAGACUCCUACGGGAGGCAGCAGUGAGGAAUAUUGGUCAAUGGGCGGGAGCCUGAACCAGCCAAGUCGCGUGAAGGAAGAAGGAUCUAUGGUUCGUAAACUUCUUUUGCAGGGGAAUAAAGUGCAGGACGUGUCCUGUUUUGUAUGUACCCUGAGAAUAAGGAUCGGCUAACUCCGUGCCAGCCGCAGC
rnacentral:rRNA from 1 species